rnacentral:rRNA from 1 species
UGGAGCAUGUGGUUUAAUUCGAUGAUACGCGAGAAACCUUACCUGGUCUUGACAUCCCGGAGACCCUUAGGAAACUAGGGGUGCUCCAUCUGGAAGAAUCUGGAGACAGGUGCUGCAUGGCUGUCGUCAGCUCGUGUCGUGAGAUGUUGGGUUAAGUCCCGCAACGAGCGCAACCCUUGCCUUUAGUUGCCAGCAGGUCAAGCUGGGGACUCUAAAGGAACUGCCUACGCAAGUAGUGAGGAAGGCGGGGAUGACGUCAAAUCAGCACGGCCCUUACGUCCAGGGCUACACACGUGCUACAAUGGCCGAUACAGAGGGCAGCUACCUGGUGACAGGAUGCAAAUCUCCAAAGUCGGUCUCAGUUCGGAUCGGAGUCUGCAACCCGACUCCGUGAAGUUGGAUUCGCUAGUAAUCGCGCAUCAGCCAUGGCGCGGUGAAUACGUUCCCGGGCCUU